CUACGGGGUGCUGCAGUGGGGAAUAUUGGACAAUGGGGGAAACCCUGAUCCAGCAAUGCCGCGUGUGUGAAGAAGGCCUGCGGGUUGUAAAGCACUUUCGGUUGGGAGGACUGCUUCUAGCACUAAUAUUGUUGGAAGUUGACGUUACCUUCAGAAGAAGCACCGGCUAACUCCGUGCCAGCAGCCGCGGUAAUACGGAGGGUGCAAGCAUUAAUCGGAAUUACUGGGCGUAAAGCGCGCGUAGGCGGCUAGAUCAGUCGGGUGUGAAAGCCCCGGGCUUAACCUGGGAACUGCAUCCGGUACUGGCUAGCUUGAGUACAGGAGAGGAGAGUGGAAUUCCACAUGUAGCGGUGAAAUGCGUAGAUAUGUGGAGGAACACCAAUGGCGAAGGCAGCUCUCUGGCCUGAUACUGACGCUGAGGUGCGAAAGCGUGGGGAGCAAACAGGAUUAGAUACCCCCGUAGUC
rnacentral:rRNA from 1 species